rnacentral:rRNA from 1 species
CAGCGCCACGAGUGGGAAUCGCUUUUAUUGGGCCUAAAGCGUCCGUAGCCGGUUUUGAAAAUCUCUUGUGAAAUCGUUCGGCUCAACCGAACGGCGUGCAGGAGACACUGCAAAACUAGGGACCGGGAGGGGUCAGAGGUAUUCUGGGGGGAGCGGUAAAAUGCUAUAAUCCCUGGAGGACCGCCUGUGGCGAAAGCGUCUGACUAGAACGGCUUUGACGGUGAGGGACGAAAGCCAGGGGAGCGAACCGGAUUAGAUACCCGAGUAGUCC